UCUUUGCUUCAGAGUGGCCAUGAGUGUGUCAACCUGAGAAUCCUCUGUCUCCUGAAUGCAGAGGCAAGAUCUACUGGCAGUGCACAGCAGAGUUUGGAACCGGGAGUCGUGGCUUCUGUGGAGGGCUGGGGAAACUCCUUGCAGCAUACGCAGUCCGGGAGCUCAUGAAGUUCAGAGUGUGUGCAUGGCACGGAUUUGGCUGCUGUGACUGCCGACGGGGCCACUGCAGCCAAAGCACUUUGCGGACACUGCGACGUGAGGGAACUACCUUUGCGUUGCCUAUGAUUGGAUACUGAUUCCUGAUCAGCAAGAAGCCUACACAGUAUCUCCAGUGCAGAAGAUGUCUGUUAGACAAGACCCCACGUACACCCUCCAGAUGCCACAUUUGGCCCCUCUGCCACUUAGAACUAAAGCUCGGGGCACCAGUCUUUGACUUUCAGAUGUGUAGCCAACAGCCAUGACCCAGGAGGGGCCCACGAGAGCAUGGAGAGAGGAAUUCCACCAGUGUCACAGACGGUUGGUUCCUGGCAGCAGAGGACGAUGUUUUGAAGCUUCUUUGCACCCUGUGAGUCCAGCAUUGCGCCUGGUGCUUUAUAAAGAUGUUAAAGGAAUAAAUGAGUCAAGGAGGAGAUGAAUAAAGAUUCUUGCAUCGUGAAGAACUUGAACGCCCAAAACAAAUACUCUUUCCUCUAACCGACUUUUCUGCUGAAGAAUGUUCUCCUGAGAUGUAAGACGACUGGGUAGAGAGGCCCUGCAGUCACCUCCACCACAGAGAAGAACCGGGACAGUAAAGAAAGGACUGCAUUCUGGGAGACGGACGGAGGGAAGAUUUCAGUAAAGAAGUGACGAGAACUCUGACAGCACAGAGACUUUGAAAGCCUGAGAGAGGAGCAAGAUGCCUCACAGCCAUCCUGCUGGAAAAGGUAAACAGAGACCCCCAGGACCCCCACCCCCACUGCAGAUCUGCAGCCCUAAAGGCAGGAGAAUGUCUUUAAAUUCAGUCUAGGAAGCUGGCUGGUGCCCGAGCAACUGCUUUGCUCUGAGAGAGGAACUCAUAUUGUGUCCAUCUCUUCCCAGAGCCCCGGGUUUGUGCUACUGUGAUGCAGCUGCUGUUAAACUCCAUUCUAUCUGAGGUGACAGCAAGCAACCUGUCACUCCCAGUAGCCUCUCGGAGCCAGAGCCAGAGCCAGGGUGAUUCACAAGGCAGAAAGCUGGCCCCUCUGCCUCUUACAGCUGUGGUACUGCUGGGCACAGGGCCCAGAGCCAUGCUUGCUCACCUACCCUGUGCAACCCAGGGAAGACCCUUCUGCUUCCUGGGACUCAGUGUCAGAAGCAAUUGAUUCCCAGGCCUGGAGGACUAGACUUGAGGAAUCUUCUGCAUUUCUUGGCUCAGGGUGGUGGGUGGCCAGGGUACAAGCCCCAGAAUCACACUUACAUGCCUCUGCUCCAUGCCUCUACCUGCUAGUGCAUAAUCCCAUACGUUAGAGUUGAACAAUACUAUAGAGCAAAUGGACCUAUCAGACAUUUACAGAACAUUUUAUCCAACAGUUACAGAAAAUACAUUUUUCUCAUCAGCACUUGGAACAUUUUCUAGCAUAAACCAUAUAUGAGGUCACAAAUCAAGUAUAGGUAAAUUUAAAAAAUUGAUAUCAGACUAAGUAUCUUAGAACACAAAGGAAUAAAAGUAAAAAUCAACAAGAAGAAUACAAAAUUUACAAAUACAUGA